rnacentral:rRNA from 1 species
CCUACGGGUGACAGCAGUGGGGAAUAUUGCGCAAUGGGCGAAAGCCUGACGCAGCGACGCCGCGUGAGGGAUGAAGGUCUUCGGAUCGUAAACCUCUGUCAGCAGGGAAGAACGGUCACUGUGCUAAUCAGCAGUGAAUUGACGGUACCUGCAAAGGAAGCACCGGCUAACUCCGUGCCAGCAGCCGCGGUAAUACCGGGGGUGCGAACGUUAAUCGGAAUUACGGGGCGUAAAGCGCUCGUAGGCGGUAUGUCAAGUCAAGGGGUAAAUCCCCGCGCUCAACGUGGGAACUGCAUUUGAAACGGGCAAACUGGAGUGUGUGAGAGGAUAGUGGAAUUCCAGGGGUAGGAGUGAAAUCCGUAGAGAUCUGGAGGAACAUCAGUGGCGAAGGCGACUAUCUGGCACAUAACUGACGCUGAGGAGCGAAAGCGUGGGUAGCAAACAGGAUUAGAUACCCUAGUAGUC